AAUGGUCAAUUGACAGAUUGACCUGUUCUUACUAUCCUCGUAAACUUUCAUUCAUAUAUUCGCACGUGCCGCUUUUUGCCGGCUGUCCACGUUGCCAUUCAAGACAGGGAAAAGUGAGCACGACGAUGAAAAAGUGUGAUUACGGAAAACCAUGUUUUGCCGAUGUGUAUCAAGUGCGACCUAAUUCACACGUGCUCGUGGUCCAUCGUUUGUUUUACAUGCAACAUGAUUAUCGUACAAAAGGAGAAGCUUCUUGUAAGAUGUCUAGACGACUAGCUCGAUGCUUACCCUGCUUUACACGAUACGGCAACAAUUCGGCUCUAUUAGACCAAUAAAGUGUAUCAAAGAGGAGGAAUGCGCCCCGCGUCAAUCGUACAUGUAGUGUCGGUUUGUCUGUCCGUGCUUUGAUAUACGGGGUGCGGGUGCACGGGUAAUUUAGAUUCUACCCGGCCAAGUUAGAAGAACGGGCCAGAAAAAAACAGCUACGAAAAGGACGAAAAUUUUUGGUGUUGUACGAGAAAUGAGAAGAUAAUCUUCCAUGUAGCAAUAAAAACAUCUUUAAGUUUUCUUGAGAAAAUCUCUUUACAUAUGCAUGGAGUGGAAAUAAAAAAAUUAUUGUACACAUAAUUGUUAUAUUUCCUACUUUAAGUUUCAUAUUUUUAAAAAGGAAGCCAAAAGUGAGUGUUCAUCGUGGUUUGUAGUUCUUUUUUUUAUAUAUUCACUGGUGUUUGACUCGUCAUUUAUUAGGAAAAAGAUAUUUAACGAUCAGAACGUACUGAUAAUAAAAUAUAGAAUAAAAAGUUCUUAGAAUAUA